UAGGGAAUCUUCCGCAAUGGGCGAAAGCCUGACGGAGCAACGCCGCGUGAGUGAUGAAGGUCUUCGGAUCGUAAAACUCUGUUAUUAGGGAAGAACAAAUGUGUAAGUAACUAUGCACGUCUUGACGGUACCUAAUCAGAAAGCCACGGCUAACUACGUGCCAGCAGCCGCGGUAAUACGUAGGUGGCAAGCGUUAUCCGGAAUUAUUGGGCGUAAAGCGCGCGUAGGCGGGUUUUUAAGUCUGAUGUGAAAGCCCACGGCUCAACCGUGGAGGGUCAUUGGAAACUGGAAAACUUGAGUGCAGAAGAGGAAAGGGGAAUUCCAUGUGUAGCGGUGAAAUGCGCAGGGAUAUGGAGGAACACCAGUGGCGAAGGCGACUUUAUGGUCUGUAACUGACGCUGAUGUGCGAAAGCGUGGGGAUCAAACAGG
rnacentral:rRNA from 1 species